GAUGAACGCUGGCGGCGUGCCUAAUACAUGCAAGUCGAGCGAACGGACGAGAAGCUUGCUUCUCUGAUGUUAGCGGCGGACGGGUGAGUAACACGUGGAUAACCUACCUAUAAGACUGGGAUAACUUCGGGAAACCGGAGCUAAUACCGGAUGAUAUUUUGAACCGCAUGGUUCAAAAGUGAAAGACGGUCUUGCUGUCACUUAUAGAUGGAUCCGCGCUGCAUUAGCUAGUUGGUAAGGUAACGGCUUACCAAGGCAAGGAUGCAUAGCCGACCUGAGAGGGUGAUAGCCCGCACUGGAGGGGGGACGGCGUCAAGGCUCCUGCGGGAGGCCGCAGUAGGGAAUCGUCCGCAGUGGGGGGGAGCCUGGCGGAACGGGGGGGAGCGAGUGAUGGCGAUCUUCGGAGCGUGAUACUCUGUUAUUGGGGGAGAACAGAUGUGUAAGUUGCUGUGCACAGCGUGACGGUACCUAGUCAGAAAGCCACGGCUAACUACGUG
rnacentral:rRNA from 1 species